rnacentral:sRNA from 1 species
UCCUAAUAUUAACCUUUGCCCUCCCUUAGCCUUUAAGCAAGAUCUGCAAGGGAAGAGGGGACUGAUUUUUAAUUUUACAUUAUCUGUGUGCAUUUAUCAAAACAGUGUGUUCAGAACUGCAAUCAGGUGUUUGAUUGAAGUCCUUACAUGUGGGCAGAAUGUUGUGACACUUUAUUAGAACUCUUCAUGCAUUUUUCCCCACCCGUUUUCUGUUUUAGUUGCUGAUAUGUGUUCAAGAUGAGUGGGAUGGGAGAAAAUACCUCUGACCCGUCCAGGGCAGAGACCAGAAAACGCAAGGAAUGUCCGGACCAGCUCGGACCCAGCCCCAAAAGGAGCACGGAGAAACGUAACCGCGAGCAGGAAAAUAAGUACAUAGAGGAACUCGCAGAGCUGAUCUUUGCAAACUUUAAUGAUAUCGACAACUUCAACUUCAAACCUGACAAAUGUGCCAUCUUAAAAGAAACUGUGAAACAGAUCCGCCAGAUCAAAGAGCAAG